UUAAAAACGCCCGGGUGGCGCUGAGAAGCAUCGGGAAAAAAAUCUGAAGUCUCUGUAGGUGGAGGCUGCUACAUGAGCCAAACUGACGGACCUGUUUGGAGCCGGGUUCACCAGCCCAGCAGCAGCAGGUGCGCCGGGAGACGAGCGAGGAGGACUCGACAAUGAUGAGCGAGUGGAGGCAGACAUGGUUGUUGUGAUAUAUUUGAGUAGUCGUUCUCCCUCUGUUUUAUAUGUGGACAUUUGGGACCACUGUUAGAAUUUGGUUGACCACUUGACAUGUGAGAGCCUGAGGAGUUGUUCCCCCUCUGUCCAUGUUCGAGGACUUGCUCUCUGUCUGCCUCCACUCUCUGCCUUCACUGUACCAAAGUUUGUCUGUUGAGUCUCCUCUAGUCUGGUUGACCACUUGACAUGUGAGAGCCUGAGGAGUUGUUUUCCAGACACAGGUAGAGCUGGCAGGGGCGUCACCCUGGGCCGGCCCUUUUGGGCUGGGCUUCAGCUGCAGAUCUAAAGGCUGCUUCCAGGGGCAUGGGGCCCUCAGCCUUUGUUUUCUUUGCUUCUGCACCUUACAACAUACAUCACACCUUAU